AAAUUUUAAAAAGCGUGUAGAUCCAUUAAGACUUCUUGAUAUUCUACUUGGCUUAUUCAGCCAUGUUUCAUUCAAGAAAUUUAACGGACUACGAGGAGAGGGGUCCGAUAUAUAUCGGACAAUCGGACUCUCGGGAUUACACCGGGAAGUAUUUGCGGAAACCCUCAGGCUGCAGUUUCCAGUCUAUAGGAUUUUCUUUAAAACUAAAUAGCAAUCUUUAGGCCAAAGAGAAAAUAGAGAAACCAA
rnacentral:ncRNA from 2 species